UCUUAGCCUCUUCUCAUGUUUUUGUAUUCUUUUCUAUGUGCCCUUCAAUUUGGUUUACUUCCCAUUACUUGUCUUCCAGUUGCUGAUCCAUUCUUCUGGCACCUCUAAUAUGCUGUUAAUCCCCUCUAGUGUAUUUUUAUUUUGGUUAUUGAAUUCUUCAGUUCUGACUGGUUCUCUUUUAUAUUUUCUAUCUCUUUGCUGAAGUUUUCACUGAGUCUUUCCACUCAUUUCUCAAGUCUGGUAGGUCAGCUACAACCCCUGGUCUUGGAUCUAGUGCCCUGUGUAGAAGUACUGUUGCCUGACGUACAAUAACCACUGUCACCAGAACCAGACAACUGAUGAAAUCUGUAGAUAUCCAGAGACAGACCUGGAGAAUGAAGAAAGCAAGAGACACUAGACCAGCUGUGGCCUUGAAGGAAGACCUUCCUUCCAGUGAGGUGGGGAGAACACAGAGCCAAGAUGGAUGCUCCAAAAACAGUGAUAAAGAGGAGGUGGUGGUGCUGCAGAACACAAGUGGUGUGUACCCUGGGAAGUGGCACACCAUGAAACAGCUCUGUGUUUUGCUUGCCUCUCUUUUAAUGCGAGUCUUGCCCUGAAAUAUGAUACUCUGUUAUAACCAGCUGUUCUUUAUUAAUAUUUUGAGAGAGAAAAAUUAUAAGUAGAUGAUUUUAUAGGUGACAGAUUGGGUUUCAUGGAAUGAAAGGAUAUCCUAGCCUCA